rnacentral:misc_RNA from 1 species
AAAAAAAAAAAAAAAAAGAAAGGCUCUUCACUCUGUCAAGCAAAGGCCUGAAAAUCUUUUUAGCAUCCUUGCAUAACACCGCCAGUCAGUCACUCAUCAAAAGUUGUUCUUUUCUUGUUUGUGUGUGUUACAAUCAAAAGCUGAUCUUAAAUCAAGGAGAUACAAAAAAAAAAAACAGGGGAACCAAGACUUAAUUUCCAAAUCAGGGGAAAAUGUUUCCUUUCAAUGUCUUUGUAACCCUGGUUUUAAUACUAUCAUUCAUACUUGAUUUGUUUAAUCUCCCUGGCGUUGGAGGAAUCGUCCGGCUCUAUAGCUAUUGCAAAAAUGGCACUAGCUUCACACCAAAUGGUAUCUAUCAGCAGAAUCUUAAUUCCUUGCUCUUUUUUCUUUCUUCUAAUGCAACACAAGAGAAGGGAUUCUACUACACCACCGCCGGUCAAGACCCUUCCAACAUGGCCUACGGCCUUUUCCUUUGUCGGGGGGAUAUUGUCCUCUUGAAAGGUGUCUGCCAAGAAUGUGUCCUGGCUGCUAGCAAAGAUAUUGUUCAAUAUUGCCCUAAAGAGAAGGUGUCGAUCAUUUGGUAUGAUGAAUGCAUGCUACGUUAUUCCAAUGAAUCUUUCUUCUCUCAAGUGGGAGAAGACCCUGCGUACGCACAGUGGAACCCCGAACCACCAGUAAACGAAUCAGAGCGCUUGACGGAGUUAGCGACAACAACGAUGCGCGAUGUGGCAGCACGGGCUGCAAAUGAUCGGUCUGGUAAAAGAUUCGGCACCGAAGAAGUGAAUUUCACGAGUUCUCAAACAGUGUAUACACUUGUGCAGUGCACCCAAGAUUUAUCUGUUGCCGACUGCAGCAAGUGCCUUCGAGAAGCUAUUGGUGCCUUACCCUACUGCUGUUAUGGAAGAAAAGGGGGCAGAAUUAUAUAUCCUAGUUGUAAUGCUAGAUAUGAGUUGUACCCAUUUUAUCGUGUUGAGGAUAUUCAAGCCCCACCGCCAUCUACAACAGGAGAUAACCGGAAGAUGAUCCUGCUUGUUGUGGGAAUACCAACGGUGCUAAUAGCAAUUCUCGUUGGGUCUGGUCUUGUCUAUUUGCAGCGGAAAAGAGGAAAAGAACAGGAAAAAGGAAAAGACCUGCCCGAAUUGUUACAGGACUUGGCAAGCCCUAGUAUGACAGAAGAAGAUAAUUUGCCGAAUUCCGUGGAGCUUCCUGUUAUGGAUCUAACUACUAUAAGAGAAGCAACAGACAACUUUUCGGAUUCAAAUAAACUUGGGCGUGGCGGGUUUGGCACUGUUUACAAGGGUGUGUUAGCAGACGGGAAGGAAAUAGCUGUUAAAAGGUUGUCAAAGAAGUCAUUUCAUGGGUUGCUGGAGUUGAAGAAUGAAAUCAUACUAAUUGCAAAACUCCAACACCGGAACCUUGUGAGGCUCUUGGGAUGUACCAUAGAGGGAGAGGAAAAAUUGCUCAUAUAUGAGUUCAUGCCUAAUAAAAGCCUUGAUUUCUUUCUCUUUGGUUUGACUUUUAAACCUCAAAAUUCACCUCAUUCUCUAUACUAAACUAUUGACCAAAAAAAAACUAUUUUAUUUGUUAAUCUUUAUCUUUCAGAUUCAAGCAAGCGUAUGCAACUUGAUUGGCAAAUACGGCUUAGCAUUAUCAAUGGAAUUGCUCGUGGCCUAUUAUAUCUGCAUGAAGAUUCUCGUCUCAGAGUUAUUCACAGAGACCUCAAGGCUGGUAAUAUAUUGCUUGACAGCGAGAUGAACCCAAAGAUAUCUGAUUUUGGAAUGGCAAGGAUUUUUGGUGGAAAGCAAAGUGAGGCUAAUACAAAUACAGUCGUAGGAACCUAUGGAUACAUGGCACCAGAGUAUGCGAUGCAAGGAUUAUUAUCAGUAAAAUCCGAUAUUUUUAGUUUUGGUGUUCUCUUAUUAGAGAUAAUAAGUGGGAAAAAGAACAGUGGAUUUUUUUCAAAUAAUGGAGAGAGUCUCCUCAUAUUUGCAUGGAAUCUGUGGUUUGAAAAUCAAGGAUUAGAGUUGAUGGAUCCGUUACUUGUAAACUCAAGCGUGGAAGCUGAGGUACUGAAGUGCAUCCAAAUUGGGUUGUUGUGUGUGCAAGAUGACCCAGCAGACAGACCAACUAUGUCUUCGGUCGUUUUAAUGUUAGGAAAUGAUACCAUGACACUUCCUCAGCCCACAAAACAUACAUUUUCUGUUAAAACAGUUGUCGAAAGUAAGGAAUCAUCAUCAAAUUAUGAAGCUUUUUCUGUCAAUGAGAUGACUGUUUCAGAUAUGUUACCGCGGUGAAUUGUCGUGUAUUUCUUGUAAUCUAGCAUAUAUUUAAGUACUAAACUUGUUGGAGCCAAGUUUAAAUAAUUUGGAUAACUUCUGUUGGUGAUCUUAUUAUUAACAUCAUUG